ACGGACCGCACAUUUUCAAUCCGAUACUCCAUGUGAUCUUUCCUCUUAGAUGAAAGUUUUAAAUUUUUCUUUGAAAUUGUUAACUAGCAAACGAUGUUAAAGUGCUUAGGAAUGGGGUGCAUCGAGAAAUUUUCACAUGCCGAUACAUCCACAAGUUGAAUUUUACAAAAAUAUGGAGAAACAAAAUGGUAGUACAAGUGCACAAUACAUCAAUCAGGACUUGUCAGCGAUAAUCUUCAAGUGUUAUUUGGAGCUACUUAUAUCAGAUCAGGCACGGUCCAGUGGAAACAAACAUUUUCACUUUAUUCUAAGAUGAUACAGGUUUUCUCCUUAGGCAAUACC
rnacentral:lncRNA from 1 species